GACGAACGCUGGCGGCGUGCUUAACACAUGCAAGUCGAACGGAAAGGCCCUGCUUUUGUGGGGUGCUCGAGUGGCGAACGGGUGAGUAACACGUGAGUAACCUGCCCUUGACUGUGGGAUAACUUCAGGAAACUGGGGCUAAUACCGGAUAGGAGCUCCUGCUGCAUGGUGGGGGUUGGAAAGUUUCGGUGGUUGGGGAUGGACUCGCGGCUUAUCAGCUUGGUGGUGGGGUAGUGGCUUACCAAGGCCUUGACGGGUAGCCGGCCUGAGAGGGUGACCGGACACAUUGGGCCUGGGAUGCGGCCCAGACUAGUACGGGAGGGAGGGGUGGAGAAUAGUAUACAAUGGGCGGGGCCCUGAUGCAGCAAAGCCGCGUGCGGGAUGACAGCAUUCGGGUUGUAUUCCAAUGCCGCCUGUGACGAAGUGUGAGUGACGGUAAUGGGUAAAGAAGCACCGGCUAACUACGUG
rnacentral:rRNA from 1 species